AUCAGCUGGAUGUUGUCAUUGUCCUGUAUGUAAAUAGGCAAUAACACAUGAGAUAAUUGGCAGAAUUUGAGAAAAACUCAUUGUACAAACACGGGAUUGCUUCAGAUCCUCAGUAUUUAGGGGUGAGAAAUUCGUAUUUUCCAGUGAGGAAAGGGAGUUCAGUGAAACUAUACCAAGAUGCUCAUGUAAGUAAUAAUGUAAAGUUCCCAGAAAUUAAACUGGAAAAUGGUACAAAUUUUGAACACAAUAAAUGUUGGGAAGAUAUAUGUUAUGCUAUUGCAGAAGCUCAUCACUUGAUUUACAUUGUUGGGUGGUCUGUUUUUCAUAAGAUUAAGUUAAUCAGAGAACCCAUAAGGCCAUUGCCAAGAGGAGGUGAUUUGACACUUGGUGAAUUACUUAAAUACAAAUCACAAGAAGGUGUAAGAGUUCUUUUGUUACUUUGGGAUGAUAAAACUUCGCAUGAUAAGUUCUUCAUUACCACGGAAGGAUUAAUGGGAACUCACGAUGAGGAGACCAAAAAGUUCUUCAAGCAUUCAUCUGUGAUUUGUGUUCUGUCACCGCGUUAUGCUAGCAGUAAGCUCAGCAUUAUGAAGCAACAGGUAACUUACUUAUCCUAGCCGUUUGAAAUAGCUGCAAGAUUAGCAUUAUGAAGCAACAGGUCAACUUUUUAACCAUCCACCAGUUUGUCAGGAAGAUAGUCUAAAAACUUUGGGUUUUAGCUGCUGUACGUGACUAUGAAGUUACUGUCCCUGCAAUAACCUUUCAAUAGUCCUGUCGAGACCCAAUUCUUAUAAAAUAGAAAGUGUUCACAUAAGUUCGCAGGAGAAAUGAAAAAAGAGGUCAAAAUGUUCAGCAAGUUGUUCAAGAAAAAAAGUAAGUUGUUCUAUCAUGUUUUUCACUUACUAUAACCGCAAGUGAAUCUCUAGCAACCAACGCGAUAAUACCAGCAUAAAAAGCAGAGCAAUAAUGAACCCCAAUCAGCUAAAAGAUGCAGCAAUAGUUUAGCAAAAAUGCAGCAAUCCUUAAGCCUCAACUUCUGCCCAAAGUGCAACAUUUGUAGCAGCAAUAUUUUUGACAAAAAUGCAGCAGUUGGCUAACUUAAAAGUGCAGCAAAAUUUAGCAAAAUACAUAGCCAAACCAUUGGCUCAAAUAUAGCCAAAAGUGUAGCAAAAUUUAGCUCGACACAUAGCAACAAUAGACUGAAAUAUGAUCAGAAGUGUAACAAAUAGCUUAGUCUAAAAUUCAGCAGCAAUACGAUACAAAAUCAGCAACCCAUGGUUUAAAAUACAUCAAAAAAAUGGAGCAGAAAAAGAUCAAAACGCAACAAUGAUUCAACCUCAAAAUGAGGUAUCAAACCAUAGCAGUCAACCUCAUCAAAGGCAACAAUUAAUUCUCAUCAAAGACAGGGGUAAGAACAAACAUGCCAAACAGAAGCUGUUCUACCAAAGUUGUUUCACGGUUGGCCUCAACAAAUUGUAGCUCAAGAAUGUUCAAAGUGCUGAAAUUGUUCUUCAAGGAAACUAUUAGCAACAACAUGAAGUCACAAAUUCACCCAAAAAGCAACAACUAUAUUUUUCUUUUAAGAAAGGUAUGUGUCCAUACCAAUAUAGGUGUAGCUGCUUGAAGUUUCAGUAAUGUUAGUGUUACUUUGUUUUCAUGUUCAAUCGUAGUCAAGAGGUCAUUUUACUUUCAUCGAUAAUUGUAAUCCAUUGUUUUGUGAUGUUAUAGAAGUUGACUACAUAUAUACUAUGAA